CUGUGUUGUUUCUCCCUGUAGCUCCUGGCGACAGUGCUGUCUCAGUCUGCCAAAGCCAAAGAGCACCUGCUGGAGCAGUCCAAGUCUGUAGAGCUAUCUACAGGCACCGCCUCUGCCUCUAGACAGUCGAGCCAAUCAGGAUGCCCGCUCCAUGAAGCUCCACCCUAUGACGCCACGGCAACCUGGAAGGGGGAGGGGCAAGGCGAGGGGAAGAGCUCUGAGGCUGUUGUCCAAUGGCUGAGUGACUUUCAGCUGCAGGUCUACGCUCCAAACUUCAUCAGCGCCGGGUAUGACAUAGUCACCAUUAGCAGAAUGACCCCAGAGGUAAGGAACGUUGACCUCUGAACCCCUAUC